rnacentral:tRNA from 1 species
AGACUUUUAGCUUAAAAGGUUAAAGUGUGCAUAUGAUAAAUGUAAUAUUUUGGUUCAAUUCCAAAACAGUCUA